rnacentral:rRNA from 1 species
GACGAACGCUGGCGGCGUGCUUAACACAUGCAAGUCGAACGGAAAGGCCCUGCUUUUGUGGGGUGCUCGAGUGGCGAACGGGUGAGUAACACGUGAGUAACCUGCCCUUGACUUUGGGAUAACUUCAGGAAACUGGGGCUAAUACCGGAUAGGAGCUCCUGCUGCAUGGUGGGGGUUGGAAAGUUUCGGCGGUUGGGGAUGGACUCGCGGCUUAUCAGCUUGUUGGUGGGGUAGUGGCUUACCAAGGCUUUGACGGGUAGCCGGCCUGAGAGGGUGACCGGCCCCAUGGGGACUGGGAUACGGCCCAGACUCCUCCGGGGGGCAGCAGUGGGGAAUAUUGCACAAUGGGCGGAAGCCGGAUGCAGCAACGCCGCGUGCGGGAUGACGGCCUUCGGGUUGUAACCCGCUUUCGCCUGUGACGAGGCGUGAGUGACGGUAAUGGGUAAAGAAGCACCGGCUACCUACGU